AUGUCAGUUUCGUUAUUACAACCUUAUUUUUUUAUGUCAAAGACAAAAAGCUACGCGCAAAUUCUCAUUGGAUCUCGGUUGUUCUUAACAGCGAUGGCUAUUCAUUUAAGUCUUCGGGUAGCACCACCAGAUCUUCAACAAGGUGGAAAUUCUCGUAUUUCGUAUGUACAUGUUCCUGCGGCUCGGAUGAGUAUAGUUAUUUAUAUCGCGACAGCUAUAAACAGUUCCUUGUUCCCAUUAACAAAACAUCCCCUUUUUCUUCGCUCUUCCGGAACCGGUACAGAAAUUGGUGCUUUUUCUACUUUGUUUACGUUAGUGACUGGGGGGUUUCGGGGAAGGCCUAUGUGGGGUACCUUUCGGGUGUGGGAUGCUCGUUUAACUUCUGUAUUCAUCUUGUUCCUUAUUUACCUGGUUGCACUGCGUUUUCAAAAGCUUCCUGUCGAACCGGCUCCUAUUUCAAUCCGUGCUGGACCGAUCGAUAUACCAAUAAUAAAGUCUCCAGUCAACUGGUGGAAUACAUCGCAUCAACCUGGGAGCAUUAGCCGAUCUGGUACAUCAAUACAUGUUCCUAUGCCCAUUCCAAUCUUGUCUAACUUUGCUAACUUCCCCUUCUCUACCCGUAUCUUGUUCGUUCUGGAAACACGUCUUCCUAUUCCAUCUUUUCCCGAAUCUCCCUUAACGGAAGAAAUAGAANNNNNNNNNNAAGGAAAAUAA
rnacentral:rRNA from 1 species